GUCCCUGGACAUCACACCUAGGACACCGCCCUUUCACGGCGGUAACAGGGGUUCGAGUCCCCUAGGGGACGCCA
rnacentral:tRNA from 1 species